rnacentral:rRNA from 1 species
CGUGCCAGCAGCCGCGGUAAUACGAAGGUCCCAAGCGUUGUUCGGAAUCACUGGGCGUAAAGGGAGCGUAGGCGGCGUGGUAAGUCAGAUGUGAGAUCCCGGGGCUCAACCCCCGGAACUGCAUCCGAUACUGCCAUGCUAGAGGAUUGGAGAGGUAGCUGGAAUUCUUGGUGUAGCAGUGAAAUGCGUAGAGAUCAAGAGGAACACUCGUGGCGAAAGCGAGCUACUGGACAAUUCCUGACGCUGAGGCUCGAAGGCUAGGGUAGCGAAAGGGAUUAGAUACCCCUGUAGUCCUAGCAGUAAACGGUGCACGCUUGGUGUGAGGGGAAUCGACCCCCCUUGUGCCGGAGCUAACGCGUUAAGCGUGCCGCCUGGGAAGUACGGUCGCAAGACUAAAACUCAAAGAAAUUGACGGGGACCCGCACAAGCGGUGGAGUAUGUGGCUUAAUUCGAUGCAACGCGAAGAACCUUACCAAGGCUUGACAUGCAUCUCUAAACACGUGAAAGCGUGUGACCCUUCGGGGAAUUUGCACAGGUGCUGCAUGGCCGUCGUCAGCUCGUGUCGUGAGAUGUUGGGUUAAGUCCCGCAACGAGCGCAACCCUUGUGAUUAGUUGCCAGCACGUUAAGGGGGGAACUCUAGUCAGACUGCCCAGAUCAACUGGGAGGAAGGUGGGGACGACGUCAGGUCAGUAUGGCCCUUACGCCUUGGGCUGCACACGUACUACAAUGCCCAGCACAAUGAGAACCGAUACCGCGAGGUGGAGGAAAUCUGUAAAACUGGGCUCAGUUCGGAUUGGAGGCUGCAACUCGCCUCCAUGAAGUUGGAAUCGCUAGUAAUGGGGCAUCAUCUACGGCCCCGUGAAUACGUUCCCGGGUCUUGUACACACCGCCCGUC